ensembl:lncRNA
CCUCCUCCUGACCAUCCCUCAGCAGCUAUUCCCAGAGAAGGCUGGAGGGAGCUCAAAGAAAAGCCGCCUUGGAACAGACUCACCUGGAACUCAUGGACUCCUUUGAGCCUGCAGUGCCGGGGGCCCUGGUGUUUCUCUCUGAGCCGUGAUUUUAUUUAGCUUGAGCGCGGCAUUCUGAACAGGGUGCUAAGGGAAAUUUACAGACUAGAUUAGACAUGGUUUUUACCCUCAGGAAUUUCACAAUUUAAUGGAGGAAAUAAGAUUAACACACAGUCAAUUAAGAGAAAGUAGAUACACAUGUACACAUAAAAAUAUUGAUUUAAGUUUGGGAAAGAGGAGAUAGGGGCAAAGGAUUUAGAUGCUAAUCAGCCAAGUCUUGCAGACUUUGCAGCCUUCACGUGCAUUCAUCUGAGUGGAUGGAAAGCUCACCGUGAGCGGAAAGAAAGAAAGGGGACAGCUUUGCAAGGAGAGAUUCCUCUUUUCUCCCACUCCACUCACCCACAAAUGGCCCCGGAGCAGAAGCAACUGCGUGCUCAGCGAUUCUAAGUCAUGUCUGUGUGACUGGCCAGCUGGGUUAUUGGAUGAUGCUGUGGAGACAUUUUCACUUGGCCUUCUAGUCAUCUGAGAAAAUAGGCAAAGCUCUGAGGCUUUGGAAGAUGGCCACUGUAUGACAGGAGCUAGCCUCAAUCCCUCAGUGACACAGUGGAACAGAGCUCUCUCUCCCAAAGAAUUCUUGUGAACACGCAGCAAGAUGGAGACAAUUUACAAACCAAAAGAAUCCUCAAAAUGAAACCUUACCUUAUCAGCACCUUGAUCUUGGACUCCUCAGCCACCGGAAUUUACAUACCGUGAAAAGUACAGUACAGCAGCUGGCACACAGAGGAACGUUCACAUCUUUGAAAGUUCACAACUUGAAGCGCGGCCAGAGCCAGCUCCAGCGCCACGUACACCGCGUCCUGCGCCUCCAGCGGCAUCGCCGCCCGGCCCGCCUCGGGCUCGCCCCACCUGGCUUCCCGGAGCGCCCGGCCCGCGCUCGCCCCUCCGCGUCUGAGCCCGGGGCUCCGUAUUUUUCUUUAAGUAGUGUGGAUUAUUUUGCUACACAGAAACCUAUUUAUUCCUAUUAUUAACAUUGGUUCGCAUCUGAAAGUCUUCAACAAUGGCUGUUUAUAAGCUGAAACAUAAAACAUCAUCAACAAUGGAGCAACAGGAACUCUCAUUCAUUGCUGGUGGGAGUGGAAAAUGGGACAGCCACUUCUGAAGAAUGUUUGGCAGUUUCUUACAAACCUAAACAUACCUUUAGUAUACAAUCUAGUAACUGAGCUCCUUGAUGAUGUUCAAAUAAUUUGAAAACUUACUUCUAUGUCAAAUGAAAGACGCCAAUCUGAAAAUACAUAUGAGUGCAACUAUGUAAUAUUCUGGAAAAAUAAAAUUUAUGGAGUCAGAGAAAAGCUCAUGGCUGCUAAGAGAUCUUGGGACAGAUGGAAGAAUAGAUGAAACACAGAGGAUUUUUAUGGCUGUGAAAAUACUUUGCAUGAUACCACAAUGAUUGGAAGCAUGUUUUAUUAUACCCUUAGGCAAAUUCGUAGAAUGUACAGCACAAAGAGUAAACUCUAAUGUAGACUAUGGACUUGGGGCAGUCUAUGCCUGUUUAAUGAUUAUAACAAAUACACUACUCUUGAGAUGAGAUGUAAACUGGCUGCCUUAUUUAUUCACCAAAAACCCACCAGUCUCUUUACAAUGCUCACAGAUGUCAAAAUUGAGUCAUGUCGUCAGGAAUUAAAACAUCCUUACUUGCGAGUCUUCCAACUUUAUUUAGUAGCCUCUCACAGCUAUAUAUAAUAUUCACAUUUUGAUGAUUUGUAGGGAUAGCACAGAAAGUCUAUAUCUGUAGAGGUUUAUGGUAACUAGGAUCUGGAUUUGUGUUCAGACAAGCAGAGGUGCUGGUUGUGAUCAAACACAGUUUAUAAUCCCAAAUUUAUGGCUCAAAGCAAUUUUCACCUUUUGUUCUUCAUCAUGUAAACUCUCUAUGUUAUUCAUCACUAUUUAAAACUGAAUGUAGUCAUAACUAAUAUCAAAAUGGUGUCUGAUACACAGUAGAUGUUAAGUAAAUCUUUUCUAGAUUGAUGACUUGCAUAAAUCUGCCAUAUUUCUUCUUGCACAACUUUCCUCAUUUUUUUUCUUGCAUGAGUUUCCUUUCAAUGUGUUAUGCAGAAUAAUUAUCUAUGUUAGUCAUUCUUAACAAUCCAGUAUCUUCCUUCAAUAAACAUAAACGCCAGAGGGCUAGCAUAUGCUGUAGAAAUAAAGUCUCUUCAGUAAGUGGUGCUGAGAAAACUGGAUAGCUCCAUGUUAAAGAAUGAAAUUAGAACAUCCUCUAACACCAUACAAAAAUAAACUCAAUAUGGAUUAAAGACCUAAAUGCAUGAGCAGAUUAUAUAAAACUCCUAGAGUAAAAUAUAAGCAGAAUACUCUUUGACCCAAAUCACAACAAUAUCUUUUUCAAUCUGUCUCCUAGAGUAAUGGAAAUAAAAACAAACAAAUGGGACCUAAUUAAACUUAAAAGCUUUUGCAUAGCAAAGGAAACUAUAAACAAAGGAAAAGAAAAUCUACAGAAUGGGAGAAAGUAUUUGCAAACAAAGUGACCAACAAGGGAUUAAUCUCCAAAGUAUACAAACAACUCAUGCAGUUCUAUGUCAUAAAACAACCAAGCAAAAAAAUGAGAAGAGACCUAAAUAGAUGUUUUUCUUUCUCCAAAGAAAACAUAGAAAUGGCCAAAAGGCACAGGAAC